UUUUACUUGUCAAACGGCUAUUUCGGAUUGUGUAAGCCAAUGGAAAGCCAUCGGUUGGGCAUAGUUAGUUCAUUACGAUUAGAUCGUUAUUUUUAUACGAAGAGUGAAUGAUUUGUUAAGAUUUGACAGUUAUUUGCGAUUGUCUUCGAAUUGUGUAAAGUUUUAUGUUCAUGGCUUAUGUCAAAAACUUACGAUGGGUCUUGAGUCACCUUUGAUCGUAAAACGGACAAAUUGUGGAUGUCCAAAAUUCCAAAAUAAUAAUUUAUAUUUUAUUAAAUAUCUAAAAUUAAUAUUUUUUUCCAUUCUAAAUCUCUCAAUUCAGUCUCCCCGUCCACAGUUAGCAUUUUUAGGACGAAACUUUGCGAAGUGUUUUGUUUGUAAACAAUGAACUCUGUUAAAAAGAGUAAUAAAUAAUAUAUUCUUUGCAAUGAACCUAUAAAGUCAAAACAAUGAAGUUAAUUGAGUGCUAUUAAUCGAUUUAUAUAGGAUGCUGAGACUUGGACUCUGAGAGAAAGUGAGAAAAAGAAUAUACACGCUCUAGAAAUGUGUUGAAGAAGAAUGCUUGCAUAUCCUGGACACAGUCUCACUCCUCCAAGAACUGGGGAUCAAACAGCAUCUUUCUUCCAGCAUCCAAUGUCUUCUUACACACACUUUCUUUGAUAUUUGGAAUAUGCCCUAUAACUGCAGACUCCAAUAUUGCAAAAAGCACCUGCAAUACAGUGGAAUAACAUAUUGGUGUGCUGAAGAAGAGAUGGCAAAGGCUUUUAGCUGAUAGGACAUUGUACUGAUGACCCUGUUAUCUGGUCAAAUCAUAAAUGUGUGUGUAUUAUCAAAAUAUUUAUAUUUGAUUUGGUCUUUGAUAUUUGAAAAUAAAAGAAUACUUACUUCGC